UAUCUUCAGGGCAGGGUGCAAAUCCCGACCGGUGGUGAAAGGUUUUCCUUAAGCCCACGAGCCGUAAGGCUGAUUUUGGUGUGAAUCCAAAGCCGACAGUACAGUCUGGAUGAGAGAAGA
rnacentral:ncRNA from 1 species